AUGCUUAACACAUGCAAGUCGAACGGGCCCGGUUUUCGGACCGGGUCAGUGGCGCAAGGGUGAGUAAGGCGACGGUAACCAACCCCAUGGUCGGGUAUAGCCGCGGGAAACUGCGGGUAAUCCCCAGCGACGUAAGAGGCCGGCAUCGGCCUCUUACCAAAGCUCCGGCGCCGUGGGACGGGCCGUUGUGGUAUUAGGUAGUUGGCGGGGUAACGGCCCACCAAGCCAAUGAUGCCUACCGGGCGUGCGAGCGUGGCCUGGCACACUGGGACUGAGACACUGCCCAGACUCCUACGGGAGGCAGCAGUCGAGAAUCUUCGGCAAUGGGCGCAAGCCUGACCGAGCGACGCCGCGUGUGCGAUGAAGGCCUUCGGGUUGUAAAGCACUGUCGAGAGAAAGAAAGCCGCAAGGUUGACCGUAUCUCUGGAGGAAGCACGGGCUAAGUUCGUGCCAGCAGCCGCGGUAAGACGAACCGUGCGAACGUUGUUCGGAUUCACUGGGCUUAAAGGGCGCGUAGGCGGGUGAUCAAGUCCGGGGUGAAAUCCUCCAGCUUAACUGGAGAAUAGCCUUGGAUACUGGUCGUCUUGAGGGAGGUAGGGGCAUGUGGAACUUCCGGUGGAGCGGUGAAAUGCGUAGAUAUCGGAAGGAACACCAGUGG
rnacentral:rRNA from 1 species